GAAGGUGGCAAGCGUUAUUCGGAUUUACUGGGCGUACAGGGAGCAUAGGCGGUUCGGUAAGCCCUCUGUGAAAUCUCCAGGCUUAACCCGGGAACAGUCGGAGGGGACUGCUGGGCUAGAGGACGGGAGAGGAGCGCGGAAUUCCCGGUGUAGCGGUGAAAUGCGUAGAGAUCGGGAGGAAGGCCGGUGGCGAAGGCGGCGCUCUGGAACGUUUCUGACGCUGAGGCUCGAAAGCGUGGGGAGCAAACAGGAUUAGAUACCCUGGUAGUCCACGCCUUAAACUAUGAAUACUAAGUGUCGGCGGGUUACCGCCGGUGCCGCAGCUAACGCAUUAAGUAUUCCGCCUGGGAAGUACGGCCGCAAGGUUG
rnacentral:rRNA from 1 species